UUGAAGUGCUUUCUCCUUUUUCCAGAGCCCUUUGAGUGGUGCUGGUUUUCCUCCUUGGAGCCUGCCCCAGGCACUGGGAGGGGAACUGGGGCCCAGCCUUGGGCUGUGUUGUAUCUCUUGCUACACACAUCUCCCCUUGACAUCCAGGGAAAUGCUCACUUUGGGUUUGAAGAUGGGAGAGUCACCAUCAUCAUCCUCAGGAUCAUCAUCUUCAUCAUCAACUCGUGUGGGACUGUGAACCUCCUUCAUAAAAGCCAACUCCAACACCAACCUCAUGGACACCUAUGGCAGCAAAUGCAGAAGCCUGUGAUUCUUCCCUCUUGAAAUGAGGCCUUUUCUCCACCCUGCUGCUCUGCCAUCCUGGAUGGAGCCUGGUAGCCUGGAACAACCAUCCUUCAUCCCUG
rnacentral:lncRNA from 12 species